AAGGGCGAGGAAUAGAUAGGAACGUACCAUAAGCUUCGGAAUAGCGUCUCGAAAGGGGCGGUAAUACCGGAUAAUGUCUUCGGACCAAAGAUUUAUCGGCUUUUGAGCGGCCUAUCUCCUAUCAGCUUGUUGGUGAGGUAAUGGCUCACCAAGGCAACGACGGGUAGCGGGACUGAGAGGUUGGCCCGCCGCAUCGGGACUGAGACACUGCCCGGACCUCCACGGAGGGCUGCAGUAACGGAUAUUGGGCAAUGGGCGAAAGCCUGACCCAGCAAUGCCGCGUGCAGGAUGAAGCCCCUCGGGGUGUAAACUGCUGUCAGGGGUCAGAAAGACAGUUUAGGCUGUUUGAUCAGCCCCAGAGGAAGUCACGGCUAACUUCGUGCCAGCAGCCGCGGUAAUACGAAGGUGGCAAGCGUUGUUCGGAAUCACUGGGCUUAAAGGGCACGCAGGCGGAAUGGAAAGUGUUUUGUGAAAUCCCCCGGCUUAACCGGGGAAUUGCUUGACAAACUUCUAUUCUUGAGGCAGGUAGGGGUGUGUGGAACUCUUGGUGGAGCGGUGGAAUGCGUAGAUAUCAAGAGGAACGCCAAUGGUGAAGACAGCACACUGGGCCUGUCCUGACGCUGAGGUGCGAAAGCGUGGGGAGCAAACGGGAUUAGAUACCCCGGUAGUCCACGCUGUAAACGAUGUCUACUAGGUUGUGGGAGUUCUGACACUCUCGCAGCCGAAGCAAAAGUGUUUAGUAGACCGCCUGGGGAGUACGGUCGCAAGGCUAAAACUCAAAGGAAUUGACGGGGGCUCACACUAGCGGUGGAGCAUGUGGAUUAAUUUGAAGCAACGCGCAGAACCUUACCUGGGUUUGACAUGCUAGGAUGCCUGCCCCGAAAGGGGUUAGGCUGCUUUUUAGGUGAAACUUGCACAGGUGCUGCAUGGCGAUAGUCAGCUCGUGUCGUGAGAUGUCGGGUUAAGUCCUUUAACGAGAGAAACCCUUACCAUUAGUUACCAGCGGGUCAUGCCGGGGACUCUAGUCGGGACUCCCGAUGUCAAACCGGAGGAAGGUGGGGAUGACGUCAAGUCCUCAUGGCCUUUAUGCCCAG
rnacentral:rRNA from 1 species